AGUUUUGCUGGUUUGCAUUUCAGCGUGUGGAUAUAUGGCUGUGCAAAUCCAUGCAAAACUGA
rnacentral:pre_miRNA from 1 species